rnacentral:tRNA from 1 species
AUUAAAGUGACAGAUAAUAUGUGAGGAAUUUAAGCUUCCUUUAUGAUUAAUUUCCUUUAAUA